rnacentral:rRNA from 1 species
AUUGAACGCUGGCGGCAUGCCUUACACAUGCAAGUCGAACGGCAGCACGGGAGCAAUCCUGGUGGCGAGUGGCGAACGGGUGAGUAAUGUAUCGGAACGUGCCCAGUCGUGGGGGAUAACGUAGCGAAAGCUACGCUAAUACCGCAUACGAUCUAUGGAUGAAAGCGGGGGACCGUAAGGCCUCGCGCGAUUGGAGCGGCCGAUAUCAGAUUAGGUAGUUGGUGGGGUAAAGGCCUACCAAGCCGACGAUCUGUAGCUGGUCUGAGAGGACGACCAGCCACACUGGGACUGAGACACGGCCCAGACUCCUACGGGAGGCAGCAGUGGGGAAUUUUGGACAAUGGGCGCAAGCCUGAUCCAGCAAUGCCGCGUGCAGGAUGAAGGCCUUCGGGUUGUAAACUGCUUUUGUACGGAGCGAAAAGGCUCUCUCUAAUACAGGGGGCUCAUGACGGUACCGUAAGAAUAAGCACCGGCUAACUACGUGCCAGCAGCCGCCGUAAUAC